rnacentral:tRNA from 1 species
AGCGGGGUAGCAUAGUCUGGCCCAUUGCACCGCCCUCAUGAGGCGGACGUCGACGGUUCGAAUCCGUCUCCCGCUA